rnacentral:rRNA from 1 species
UAAACCUGCCUCUUAGCGGGGGGUAACUAUUGGAAACGAUAGCUAAUACCGCAUAAAAGUCGACAUUGCAUGAUGUUGACUUGAAAGGUGCAACUGCAUCACUAAGAGAUGGACCUGCGUUGUAUUAGCUAGUUGGUGAGGUAACGGCUCACCAAGGCGACGAUACAUAGCCGACCUGAGAGGGUGAUCGGCCACACUGGGACUGAGACACGGCCCAG